rnacentral:misc_RNA from 1 species
AAGGAUCAUUAAUGUAAGAGACAAUAGAGUUUUGAGACUGUGUCUUUAAUGGCAUGUGCUCGACUCUUCAUCUUUCAUCCACAUACACCUUUGUGCACCAUGGGAAAGGGGGGGUAGACCCUGAAAAAAGUCUCCCCCCUUUUCUUAUUUUUACAAUUAAACACCAGUUUUAAUGCAUGUUUUUAUUAUACUCUAAGGAGUAAAAUACAACUUUCAACAACGGAUCUCUUGGCUUUC